UACGUAGGGGGCGAGCGUUGUCCGGAUUUACUGGGCGUAAAGGGUGCGUAGGCGGGUCUUUAAGUCAGAGGUGAAAUCCUGGAGCUCAACUCCAGAACUGCCUUUGAUACUGAGGAUCUUGAGUACGGGAGAGGUGAGUGGAACUGCGAGUGUAGAGGUGAAAUUCGUAGAUAUUCGCAAGAACACCAGUGGCGAAGGCGGCUCACUGGCCCGAUACUGACGCUGAGGCACGAAAGCGUGGGGAGCAAACAGG
rnacentral:rRNA from 1 species